ACAGAGGUGGAUGGAGAUGUCUUUGAUGAACUUGUCAAGUCAGGUGUCUUGACCUUCAAGCUCCCUUUACCAGUAAUGGGUAAGGAUGUCAGGGCAUGGGAAAAGGUAGGGGUUCGAUGAGGUAUCACAGGCAGUGUAAACUAAGAGACAUAUAGUGUGUUGUCUAAAAUAUCUUUUUGAGGGACCUCAAACUAUUAUCAUUUGCUAUACUAUUGAUCAUUACGUUACAUACAUCUUAUUCGUAUGUGGAAAGUACUUAAUGAAAAUGAUAUACUUUAUAUUUUUUUUAUGUAACCAUUCAACUAUUUGUUGAAAUGCUUUUGUUACUGAUAAAUACAUGUACAUUUAAAUUGAUUUUGUUCUGUCUGUGAUUUUGUAGAUCUGGAUGUUCAGAUGGUCUCAGAUCAAGCAUCCUCCUCUGUACUGACUCUACUAUCCCCAGCUUCAUCCCAUUCAUCUGAUUCCACAAUUGUCCUUGAGUCCACAAGAAAGAGGAGGAACCCAACAGGGUUAAUGGACCAGAAUGAAACAAGACAGAAAGUUGAUUGUGUUCUGAGGGCCAAUCCAAAGGGUGAGGAAAUCUUCAAGGAGUAUGAAAAGACCAAAACACUAACAGAUGGUGAACCUCCUGGUUGCAGACAUGUUAGAGCUACAUGGGAGGAUUCCAUCGUCAAGUGUGAGGACAAAUUAUGCACUGGGAAUUGUGACACUUUUUCCAUACCUCCAAGAUCCUUUCUCCAAUCAUGGAUAUGUAAGUUCUGUCUGAAAACCCAAACGAGUGUGUUUUUAUAUUUUCUUCCCUUUUACAGUUUUAAAGUUAAAAUGAUCUUGUUUUAGAUGAGUGUUUAUAGGUUGCUCAGCUUUGUAUUUUCCACUUGUUUUUGUAAUGUUAUAUAGUCAUUGUGUGAACUUAUUGUGUUGAGUAAUUCAUUCUUGAAGCCAAGCACGAGAUGCCUCUCUUUGGGUCUUUUCUUAAACAGGAACACUACUAUGAUCCUGACGGUAAUACUGGCUUCAUUGCAUGGAGGAUCAAGACGGUUCAACGUAACACCUGUGCUGGCUCCCGGUGUCAUUCCAAGACUGUUCUUCAGGAUGGUCCAAAAACCAGAUGAGAAUCUCUGUUAACCUGUCAACAGCUAUUUGGUGAGGAGUGCAGGGAGGCAAUAUCUACAAUACGAUAUUCCACUGGUGAAUCUGUGGUCAAAGAGAAGAUGAGAGCGACUUUCCAGUAUCGACAGAAGAUGGUCGGUGAGGAUGCAUCAUCUUCAGUCCUGGAUUUGUUCCCUCGUUUCCUUGAUGUAUCUGGAUUGGUAAGAAAAUCUUUAGCUUUGGAAGUAGUUUUGAAAAUGAAAUGACCUUCUCUGUAGUUAUUAAAUGAGUUCACGGGUACAGUACAGAAAGGAGUUGUUCAAUGAUCACCGUAACACCAACAGGCCGGUCCAAACUGAGAAAUUCAAUGUUCUAAUCUUUUAUAUCCCAAAUGUAUGCAUAAAUAACACAGCAGAUCUUAAUUUUUAGUAUUUGACCUUUCAUCAAUUUAUGUCUGUUAUGUUUAAACCUGUAUAAACCUUGUUUAUAGAUCGACAAGGAUUUCUCUAUGAUGUUUGCUGAAGAAGUGUCUCAGAAGUUCCUGGCAAUGUGGUCAACAUUCUUCAAGCCAAAAAUCAUUGCAGACUGCAAGACUCUUAAGAAUAUGGGCGACCUGCUGUCAGGAACUGAAUCUGAGGACUACAAUGGAUGGGACAGCGAUAUGUCCUCAAUCCUUUUGCUGCUGCAUCUGCUCCCUCUAACCUCAAGAGGCCAGAAAAAAAACAUCCAAGAUCAGUUCAGCUCAAGCAACCAGCCAUCUUGUGAGAUAUCUUAAGGAAGGAGCCAGUGUGACUACCUUCAUUGAAAGUGCUGACACAAGACAACCAUUCCUCCUCUGCAUCGAAUACCGCUGCUGGGAAAUUGCCGUUCCCGAGGUUGGGCACACGAGGGCAGUCAAGCUCCAUCCACCGCAACACACAACGCCGCCUGAAACUGAAGCUGCUGUAAACCCACCCACAUCCUAGAGAUGAAACUGUUCUGUAAUGAGGGAUGGGCUAAAAUUCCUCCAAGCUGACGUUUGUUUGCAGUUGUUGCUGCACACCGAGGUCACACCAGAUACUGAAAGCAAAGGUUCACAUACUUUUGCCACUCACAGACAGCAAUUAACAUUCAUCAUUUUACCUGAGAGAAAAAAAGCGCUAUUAGGCAGCAGGUAAAGUGAACUGUACACUUACGUUUACGUUUAUUCAUUUAGCAGACUUUUUUAUCAAAUCGACUUAUAAAUAACAAAAUUACUUAUUUACUCAAAAGAAACAUUGGUAUAUUAUGAAUAUCAUUAGAAUGGUUUGUAACUAUAUAUGUAGGGUCAAUUGUAGUCAAACACACGGUAAAAUAAAGUCUUUUGGUAAAAAUGAGUAGAUCACACAAUUAUUUUAGAUUAGGUUAGAAUAUAUUAGAGUAGAUGUGUGUCUUUUCAAUAGUUGCAUAAUUCAAUGUUGGGUCAUUGAUCUUUUAAUCUAACAUGAAACCUGUCAAGUCAUUUUAAAAGAAUCAAUUACCAUAUUUUUACUUUACCUAACAUUAUGCAUAACUAUGUAAAUGACUUUUUUAUAUAUUUAUUUAUGUUAAUUGUUCAUAUUUAUGGGUACUACUCAAGCUAUCAGCAUGAAGUUGUCCUUCAGGAGAGGCCCAUCAGGUCAUUUACGUCGGGACCCAUCUGAAGAGGAAAGAAGGAUUAAGGACAAUCAUUCUUUGCAAGAGCAGUCAACACCUCAAAGAGAAGAUGUGGUCAGGAACAAUACAGCCACCCGCUCCGUUCAAUCCACCUGCAAGUGGUGUUCCUAAAGAUGUACCUCUGACACAGGCAGCAGUUGAGAAGACACCAAAAAAACUAAUUGGAUCCUGUUUAGCUUGUGGUCUUCCAAAUUCUCGUUACUUGGGUGAUGACUCCUCUGUACAUUUCUCUUAUCAGGCUGGUGAUGUUAAAUAUUUCUACUGCUCCAGGAAAGUCUUUGAGGCAUACUCUGCAGAGGGCCUUCUGGUCAUCUGUGCAGGUUCUGCCACCAGGCACUAAAACAAGGACCCAAUAGCCCUCAUAUCCACACUGGUUUCCCUGGAGUGGCAGGCAAAUACAUUUACUGUCCUGCUAAAGGGCUCUCCCUGUAUCAGGCACAGGGAAUGAAUGCAGAGAUGACAUGGGCAGAGUUUCAGCAGUCCUCAUUCUAUGAGGCUAAGAGGCAGAGGUGGAUUGUUGAAAAGAGAAAAUAACUUUGUUGUGAAACACAGUGUUUAAGGUCUGUGCAUGGCACGUCUGAUUCCAAGCCAAGCACAAGCUUGGAUUUUGGUAAAUAGUUACAAAUCCUGUGUAAUACUGUUGUCCAUGAACCUCAUUCUAUUUGUGCUGUGCUCUCUCUCUCUCUCUCUCUCUCUCUCUCUCUCUCUCUCUCUUUACCAUUGUGGAAUUGUGUAUAGACAACAUUGUAUUUAAAAAAAACAAAAUUGUCCUGUGUAUUUGUAAAUAUGUUUUACCUAUCUUGUAUUUGUAGAAGUUUUUAAACUCUUAGUCCUUAUUUGCAAUACAUUUUCAAUAACUUACUAUAACACACUCUGCAUAUAUUAUUUAGAAAGUUAUUUUAAUUUUGGCAAACUGUUAAUUUCAUGUUCUCCUCAAUCAAAAUAGUAAAUGUUGACAAUUCCUCUUUAAAAAAAAGAGGAGCUACAAUAUGUAACAGAUAAUAUAAUAAAAAUAUACUAAAACAUGAUCAAAACA